CCUACGGGAGGCAGCAGUGGGGAAUCUUCCGCAAUGGGCGAAAGCCUGACGGAGCAACGCCGCGUGAUCGAAUGAAGGCCUUCGGGUUGUAAAGAUCUGUUGACAGGGACGAAUAAGCAAUGCGAAUAGUUUUGUGUCUGACGGUACCUGUUUAGAAAGCUCCGGCUAACUACGUGCCAGCAGCCGCGGUAAUACGUAGGGAGCAAGCGUUGUCCGGAAUUACUGGGCGUAAAGGGCGCGUAGGUGGGCGCGUAAGUCAGGUGUGAAAACUCCGGGCUCAACCUGGAGACUGCACUUGAAACUGGGUGUCUUGAGGGCAGGAGAGGAAAGUGGAAUUCCUAGUGUAGCGGUGAAAUGCGUAGAUAUUAGGAGGAACACCAGUGGCGAAGGCGACUUUCUGGACUGUACCUGACGCUGAGGAGCGAAAGCGUGGGUAGCAAACAGGAUUAGAUACCCGGGUAGUC
rnacentral:rRNA from 1 species